rnacentral:rRNA from 1 species
GGUUAAGCUACGAAGGGCGCACGGUGGAUGCCUUGGCGCCAGGAGCCGAUGAAGGGCGGGACAAACACCGAUAUGCCUCGGGGAGCUGUAAGUAAGCGUUGAUCCGGGGAUUCCCGAAUGGGGCAACCCCCUGCUCCUAAUCGGGCAGGAUCCAUCUCUGAAUCCAUAGGAGAUGGAGGGCAGACCAGGGGAACUGAAACAUCUUAGUACCCUGAGGAGAAGAAAGCAAAGCGGGCCCCGCGAAAGUAUCACUUUCGUGGGUGCUAACAGCGAUUUCCUGAGUAGCGGCGAGCGAAAGGGAAGCAGCCCAAACCGGUACGCUUGCGUACCGGGGUUGUAGGACGUCCCACGUGGAGUGACAAAGGACGAGGAUAGGCGAACACGUCUGGAAAGGCGGGCCAUAGAGUGUAACAGCCACGUAGCCGAAAUCUUCGUCCCUCCGGGACGGAUCCUGAGUACGGCGGGACACGUGAAAUCCCGUCGGAAUCCGGGAGGACCAUCUCCCAAGGCUAAAUACUCCCUGGCGACCGAUAGUGAACCAGUACCGUGAGGGAAAGGUGAAAAGCACCCCGGGAGGGGAGUGAAAGAGAACCUGAAACCGUGUGCCUACAACCAGUCGGAGCACGAUUCCGUGUGACGUGUGACGGCGUGCCUUUUGUAGAAUGAACCGGCGAGUUACGAUCUCGUGCGAGGUUAAGCCGAGGAGGCGGAGCCGCAGCGAAAGCGAGUCUGAACAGGGCGAUGGAGUACGAGGUCGUAGACCCGAAACCGUGUGAUCUACCCAUGUCCAGGGUGAAGGCAGGGUAACACCUGCUGGAGGCCCGAACCCACGCAUGUUGAAAAAUGCGGGGAUGAGGUGUGGGUAGGGGUGAAAUGCCAAUCGAACACGGAGAUAGCUGGUUCUCCCCGAAAUAGCUUUAGGGCUAGCCUCGGAUGAUGAGUGUUGGAGGUAGAGCACUGAUUGGACUAGGGGCCCCCACAGGGUUACCGAAUUCAGUCAAACUCCGAAUGCCAAGCACUUUAAUCCGGGAGUCAGACUACGAGUGAUAAGAUCCGUGGUCGAGAGGGAAACAGCCCAGACCAUCAGCUAAGGUCCCAAAGUGUACGUUAAGUGGGAAAGGAUGUGGCGUUGCCCAGACAACCAGGAUGUUGGCUUAGAAGCAGCCAUCAUUUAAAGAGUGCGUAAUAGCUCACUGGUCGAGUGACGCUGCGCCGAAAAUGUAACGGGGCUAAACGUACCACCGAAGCUAUGGAUCCGCAAGGAUGGUAGGGGAGCGUACCAAGGGCAUGGAAGCCGGACCGUAAGGACCGGUGGAGCGCUUGGUAGUGAGAAUGCCGGUGUGAGUAGCGAAAAGACAAGUGAGAAUCUUGUCCGCCGAAAGCCUAAGGGUUCCUGAG